CUCUCUCCUCUCCUUCCUCUCGUCUCUGUUAUUUGUGCUCUUAUCACGCUCAUCUUUAAGAGUGCGGCGUUAUCUUUUUCUGUCCAUCUUAUCGCUUUUUGUGGCUUAAUGAUAAAAUGUUCGCCCUGAAGGGACGGAAAAUUACAAGCUAAAAACUUGAGAUUGGUUACAGCCAAGCAGUGUAAUUGGAUGUGCCGAGCAAGCUCUACCUGUUGAGGAGAGGUCAUGACCCCCAGCGUCAUCCAAUCACGGAGGAGCUGGACUCAAAGAUGAACUGAUGCGGUAUCCAAUCAAGGAGCAGCUGGACUCAGAGGGGGUGAUGGGAUUGGUCACCCCCAGGGAACCAGCCCAAAGAGUGUCUGGGCCAGACUCACCCCUGCUCUGGCCCUGAUGCGACAGCUGACAAUCAUGCCUCAGUGAGAGGCGCACACACACACACACACACACACACACACACACACACAGCAGCUGAACUGAGACCAGUCUGAUUUCCUGAGUGUGAGAAGAACUCUCUCACGUGUGUGUGUUUGUGCAUUUAUCAUUACGUAGUAUGCAGUGGUGGGCAAGACAGUCAGAAUGGGUGGAGGAUUAAAGGUGUAGAGAAUGGGUGGAGGUUUAAAGGUGGAGUUCACAAGUUCUGUAAAUAUCAGCGCUGUUGAAUGAUGAUUUAGAGGCGUUGUCGGGGGAUACCUUCAGAAACGCAGCUUGUGGUCCUGAUCAUUCUAUUCCAAUUCCAUUUCUUUAUUUAGAGUUCUUUCUCUGUGGCCUGUGUAAUUUCCUCAUUACUGAGAGUCUCUCCAUCCCUCACUCCAUCUACUGUCUCUCUCUCUCUCUCUCUCUCUCUCUCUCUCUCUCUCUUUCUUUUUCUCUUUCUCUCUCUCUCUCUUUCUCUCUCUCUCCACCCCCGCUCUCUCUCUUUCUUGGCAGCUUCUUCUCCCACAUGUCAACAUCUUGUUGACAGUUUUAAGCCAUGUGCUUUGGCAGAGGGGAUUUUGCUAAUGACAAGUGAGUUUGAUUGGGAUUUAAUUAACCAUUGUAGCCAUUUAAUGAGAAACCGUGUAUGAAAUGAGUUCCAAUUUGCUUCUCGAGUGGUGGAGAUGCCUUUGACCUUCUUCACAUUCCAGCAGGAAAUUGGGAUUUUGAAGCAUGUCCUCACAAUCCAGGGGUUAAUGAACAGCAAAACCCCUCAUUCACUUGUUCAGAGUGAGCUGGAAAUGUACUGCUUUUUGUGUGUGUGUGUGUGUGUGUGUGUGUGUGUUUUUUCUUUCCCCAAGCACCAGUUCAUAAAAUGAACUACAAUGAUAAAACAAAAACAUUUAUACUUAAAUAGUACAGCUUGAAUGACUACAUGCAAUAAAGCACCACAAAAGAAGAAAAAAAAGUGAAUUUCCCAAGUGUAAAUAUGAACAAUAUCAGAGCAGCCUUUUAUGAUGUUAUGUUUUGUGAGGUUUUGUUGAAUUUUACACAAAACGUACACAGUCCUGAAAUAUAUUUUCCCCUUAGUGUAGUUCUUAUUUAGUUAAUCUCACUUUAAAAACGUUUUGUUUUUGUAGUCUCCAUUCAUGUGUGUUUGAGCAUUCAGAGCCUUUGUCCUACUGUAUGCAGUACUGAAGCGAAGUGAUGUGUGAAAACCGAAGCCAUUUAAAACUCAAAAGUGCUCAUGAGCUUUUGUUUUAUUUUCCAAAUGUUCAAGAAUUUAUGGAGUUGCUAUCGCUGAUCCUUGUGUGUUUUCACCUCUGAUGAUGAGAGCAGAAUAUGAGUCAAACUUUGUCAGCAGUUUACCCAAAUGAUAAAGUUGUUAUUCUAACAGCUCCUGCUCAGCGGGAGAAUUGCAUCAUUUUGCAUUUCAUAUGAAAACUAUUUUUAAACAGAAAGGGUUUCACAGGCUCACAUGGGCGCCCUUCUCAAACUGAUGUUUUUAAGAGCUGUAAGAAAUGUUUCUCUAUAAUGUGAUUGGGUAUCAUGUGCUUAAAAUGCUGUUGAAUUGUAUUUUAAUAUGUAGAUUGUAUUUUUUCAUAUGGUUGUCUGUUCUAAUCUUAAUAAAAAUAAAUAAUGAAUGCUA